AACGAACGCUGGCGGCAUGCUUUACACAUGCAAGUCGAACGGCAGCACAGGAGAGCUUGCUCUCUGGGUGGCGAGUGGCGGACGGGUGAGGAAUACAUCGGAAUCUACCUUUUCGUGGGGGAUAACGUAGGGAAACUUACGCUAAUACCGCAUACGACCUUAGGGUGAAAGCGGAGGACCUUCGGGCUUCGCGCGGAUAGAUGAGCCGAUGUCGGAUUAGCUAGUUGGCGGGGUAAAGGCCCACCAAGGCGACGAUCCGUAGCUGGUCUGAGGGGAUGAGCAGCCACACUGGAAAUGAGACACGGUCCAGACUCCUACGGGAGGCAGCAGUGGGGAAUAUUGGACAAGGGGCGCAAGCCUGAUCCAGCCAUGCCGCGUGGGUGAAGAAGGCCUUCGGGUUGUAAAGCCCUUUUGUUGGGAAAGAAAAGCAGUCGGUUAAUACCCGAUUGUUCUGACGGUACCCAAAGAAUAAGCACCGGCUAACUUCGUGCCAGCAGCCGCCGUAAUAC
rnacentral:rRNA from 1 species